rnacentral:rRNA from 1 species
CGCGCAGGCGGUCAUUCAAGUCGAGUGUGAAAGCCCCCGGCUCAACUGGGGAGGGUCACUCGAUACUGUUUGACUCGAAGGCGGGAGAGGGAAGUGGAAUUCCCGGUGUAGUGGUGAAAUGCGUAGAUAUCGGGAGGAACACCAGUGGCGAAGGCGACUUCCUGGCCCGUUCUUGACGCUGAGGCGCGAAAGCUAGAGGAGCAAACG